rnacentral:rRNA from 1 species
GGGGAAUCUUGCGCAAUGGGCGGAAGCCUGACGCAGCGACGCCGCGUGCGGGAGGAAGGCCCUCGGGUCGUAAACCGCUUUCAGCAGGGACGAGGCCGCAAGGUGACGGUACCUGCAGAAGAAGCCCCGGCUAACUACGUGCCAGCAGCCGCGGUAAUACGUAGGGGGCGAGCGUUAUCCGGAUUCAUUGGGCGUAAAGCGCUCGUAGGCGGCCUGCUAGGUCGGGAGUCAAAUGCGGGGGCCCAACCCCCGGCCGCUCCCGAUACCGGCGGGCUUGUGUUUGGUAGGGGACGGCGGAAUUCCCGGUCUAGCGGCUGAAUGCGCAGAUAGCGGGAAGAACAGUGGUGCCGAAGGCGGCCUUCUGAGCCACAACUGACGCGGAGGAGAGAGAGCUGGGGGAGCGAACA